GACGAACGCUGGCGGCGUGCCUAAUACAUGCAAGUCGAGCGCAGGAAACUGACGGAACUCUUCGGAGGGAAGGCAGUGGAAUGAGCGGCGGACGGGUGAGUAACACGUAAGGAACCUGCCUCAAGGAUUGGGAUAACUCCGAGAAAUCGGAGCUAAUACCGGAUAGUUCAACGGACCGCAUGGUCCGCUGAUGAAAGGCGCUCCGGCGUCACCUUGAGAUGGCCUUGCGGUGCAUUAGCUAGUUGGUGGGGUAACGACUCACCAAGGCGACGAUGGAUAGCCGACCUGAGAGGGUGAUCGGCCACACUGGGACUGAGACACGGCCCAGACUCCUACGGGAGGCAGCAGUAGGGAAUCUUCCACAAUGGACGAAAGUCUGAUGGAGCAACGCCGCGUGAGUGAUGAAGGUUUUCGGAUCGUAAAACUCUGUUGUAAGGGAAGAACACGUACGAGAGGAAAUGCUCGUACCUUGACGGUACCUUACGAGAAAGCCACGGCUAACUACGUGCCAGCCGCCGCGGUAAUAC
rnacentral:rRNA from 1 species